AUUAUGAAGUUAAUAAGAAUAUUAAAAGCCGCUUUCGAUCUUUUGAAGGACCCCCGGAUUGAGCCUGCCCUGACAAAUGCCACAUGCUGCCCAAAAAGAGUAAUUAACAACAAACUAAUCAACCCAUCACUCAGGAGGCCAAACCCAUACGGCAUAUCCCACAGGUGCUCUCUUCUUUCUUAUUAUAUGUGUAUUUAUGUUAUAUUAUAUGUGUAUAAAAUCUGUAAUUGAUUUGCAUAAAUGCAGAGAGAGAACAGAUAGGGCUGUGAACAGGAAGAGGCCUGCGAAUGCAACUUCUCGAGCAUACAGAGCCUGGUUUCAGUGGUGGAGGUGUCAACUAUCAAUGGAUGAUUAUCUUGACUACAUUUCCAGUCAGGACUCCGAUUAUCUGUCAGUGCUGUUUCACUUGUAUGACAGUGAUGAUGAUGAAGAGGCAGAGAGACACAAGCUGGCUCAGCUGCAGCAAGACGAGAGGAGAAGAAGGCAACAGGAAAGGAUCAGUUCACUUAGGAGACAGAAACAAGAAUGUGUUCCUGGAUUCUGGAACAUCAACACCAUAGAGAUGGGAGGAUUGGGAAGGGAACCAGAACUGGAUGGCAUGUUGUAGUUUUCUUAAAAAAAAAAAAAUACUGGUACAUUUAUGAAAAUGCAUUAUUUAGUGUCAAAAACGACAUGAAUGAAUGUAGAAAUAUCUGUGUUUCAGAGAAAAAUCCAGAAGAGGAAAUACAAGAUGCAUCUGAGGGAGAUGAAGGUGAAGGUGCUGGACUGCUGGAUGGAGAACAGAUGCAGGUCAGGCUGGAGAGGGUCUGGAACGCCCUGCUUCUGCCAGAAGGACAGCGACUAGACAUGGCCAUUAAAUACAGCUCUCAUGAGUACAGGAACCAUCUGCAGGA
rnacentral:lncRNA from 1 species